GUGGGGAAUAUUGGACAAUGGGCGCAAGCCUGAUCCAGCCAUGCCGCGUGAGUGAUGAAGGCCCUAGGGUUGUAAAGCUCUUUCACCGAUGAAGAUAAUGACGGUAGUCGGAGAAGAAGCCCCGGCUAACUUCGUGCCAGCAGCCGCGGUAAUACGAAGGGGGCUAGCGUUGUUCGGAAUUACUGGGCGUAAAGCGCACGUAGGCGGAUAUUUAAGUCAGGGGUGAAAUCCCAGAGCUCAACUCUGGAACUGCCUUUGAUACUGGGUAUCUCGAGUAUGGAAGAGGUGAGUGGAAUUCCGAGUGUAGAGGUGAAAUUCGUAGAUAUUCGGAGGAACAACAGUGGCGAAGGCGGCUCACUGGUCCAUUACUGACGCUGAGGUGCGAAAGCGUGGGGAGCAAACAGGAUUAGAUACCCGUGUAGUCC
rnacentral:rRNA from 1 species